GGGGGAUUGGCACAGUGGUAGCGCAUCUGAUUCCAGAUCCAGAAGGUCGUCGGUUCAAGUCCGGCAUCCCUCA
rnacentral:tRNA from 1 species